GAAAUGCGAUAAGUAAUGUGAAUUGCAGAAUUCAGUGAAUCAUCGAAUCUUUGAACGCAUAUUGCGCCCCUUGGUAUUCCGAGGGGCAUGCCUUUUCGAGCGUCAUUACAACCGUCAAGCUCUGCUUGGUAUUGGGCCUCUGUCUCCACGUGGGCGGGCCUCAAAGUCAUCAGCGGCUGAGAGAACGGCAUUCUAGCGUAGUAGAAAUUAACUCGCUGGGGACCGACCUCAGGUAGCUGUCAAACACGCGCCUUCGCGCAAAUCUAAGGUUGACCUCGGAUAAGGUAGGGAUACCCGCUGAACUUAA
rnacentral:misc_RNA from 1 species